AAUAUUAUAUCUAAGUAAAGAAAUUGUUUUGAAAGCAAUUAAUAAGUGUUCAAUUCACUUUAA
rnacentral:tRNA from 1 species